UGAUCUGCUGGGAACUGUGUCUUAACGAUCUGCGGGACACUAAUCAUUUAGAAAAGUAAGUGAUGUGAUAAACCACAAUGUUUCUUUUCUUUUUUUUACUCUUUUGAACCGUUAGUACAGUUUUGUUUUGCCCUACCUCGCUCCUUCUUGCAUCUGCGAGAGAUGAUAAACCAAGGCAAUUUAUUUAUUAAAAAGCUAAGUAGCAUACCACUUUAAUGCGACCUCAAAACGUUUUCUGAAGGUGAAAAUUUACAAUCCGGAACCGGAAAUGGAUGGAAUAACGGCAACCGGGAGAGAGAGCAGAGAGUAGUCUUGAACAUGGCUGGUUUGUGUUUAUGUUCUUCUAGAUUUUUAGCAAAAAAUAUUAAAAACAUUAAACAAUCGUACUUAACCAGAGUUUUAAACAAGAACAAAUCGCAUCGGACAUAUAUUUGUGCAACUGG